AAUGGCCAGACGCUGCUCUGGAGGGAAAUCUUUAGGGUACACCAUGUGCACAGGGACCUCAGAGACGGUAGGAGGGUACGUCUCACCUUUCACUAGCUGUGAACAAACAAAAACAGUCAUCCACAUGUUAGAGGUGUGUUUGAUUUUGAGCAUUUCAGACUUUUAAAUACCCUGUUUUCCUCCCUCUUUGGGAGUACUAUACUAGGUGUCAAAGGCAAAGUGUUAUGUGCAAAACUAAUUGUCUCUUCUUUCCUUGAGGUACGUUCCACCCUCCAUAACUGAUCAGCUGCUGAUCUGUGACACCUGUGGGCUGGCUACAAAAGCCUCUGCCAAGCCCCUCCCACUCUCUCUCACACAGCCACGAUCAGCAGCAUGGCAGCAGCUAUUACUGUUCCCUCUUUGUUGUUUUGUUGGUAUUAAUUGUCUGUAAUAAAUAUAUGGUUGUAGAUUUGUCUCAUGACUCCUCUAUGUUGCCUCCCCUGAGCCAGGGUCGUAACACAAAGUACAACGGAAAGGACAGUUUCUUUAACAAACUACUGUAUCUCCUCAAACAAAGUGUCCAUUGAUGAAGAUAUUUUGGGAAACUUCUUUACCAAAUCCCUGAUCAUGUCAAAGGCAGGAUGGCAGCUGGCAGACAAGCCAAAACUUUAGUAAAGCCACCUGGUACGUCAUGGUUUGUCCUGAAGAACUGGUGGGUGAAGUGUUGGGCCAUGAAGGCAAACAUCAGGUUGGUUCCCUGAGGGUCUGGCCUGAAUGUCUUUCUCCUGAAAAACCUCUCAGCCAAAAGUUUGGGAUCAGGAAGAACAGAUUUACCUGGAGAGAAAGACACAUGUCAAGAAACAUUUCCCCAGAGGCGCAGUGGUCUGUGAACAGCUGUGUACAGGAAAGAGUUGUUGACGAUGUUCCAGAACCAAUGGAAGUUCGUGAGGAAGGAGUGAACGACUGGAGGACUGGGCUUCAGCAAGAGACGAAGUCUGGUCCAGAACUCAGCUGCACAGAGGAAAACAAAGAGGAAAUGUUUUGAAGGGAACUUAACUUAAACUGUUUGUGAGAUGUUAUUUACGUAAAUUAAGGUUUUAUUAGUGCUUUAUUGGUCAACUGUAAGCCAGUAAGAGGAAAAGUUAUUGUGUUGCCAGGUAGUGACACGUCCAAUUUGUGGUGAUUAUCCUGUUCCAAAGUAAGGUUUGUUUUUAGAUUUCCUGUCUUUAGUUCUGGGUUAGAUCUUCAAAUGGACCAUUUGAUCUUUGAAUGUUAUAAGAAAUAAUUGAUCAUUGAUUUCAAGCUUGUUACUUAUCAAGAUCAAAUGAAGAAGGUGCUGAUUAAGGUUUUACACUUGAUGUCAAAGUUGCUGAAACAAACAAUGAUUAUGUUUUUCUUGGACAUCCUCUUAAUGUAAAACACUCCAGUGUUCAGAGUAUUUGUUAGUUACUUCUUCCCAUUAUUUAUUUGAUGGGAGGUUUCAGAGUUAAUAAUAUAAUCACAAAAUGAAAAAUGAACUCCAGGAUUAAAACUUAAAGGUUUGUCCACUGUAGCUAAAGGGUCAGAUGCAAAUUCAAGAGAGGCCCAUUCGACAUGAAGUUAGCUAAGGUGGCUUCGUUGAUCCAAAGUCAUUAUAAAUUGAUACUAAACUGAGGUCACUUAGACUGUGACUUUUAAAGUAACUCAUACUCACAUUAAAACAUAUCCACUUAUUUUGAAACUGGUGCAUUUUUCUAUACUUACGAUCAGUGCAGUUUUCUCCAUUGAAGCCAGUGCGA